rnacentral:tRNA from 2 species
GCGCCCAUAGCUCAGCUGGUAGAGCAGAUCCCUUUUAAGGAUAAGGUCGUUGGUUCGAUUCCAACUGGGCGCACAA